rnacentral:lncRNA from 13 species
CUCAGCUGGAUGGGAAAGCGUGGCUCUCACAGCUCCAUGGAUCACCGGGAAGUGGGUGUUGCAGGUAUCUUUUUGUGCUCACCCUAUGUUAGAGGUGAGUGUCCUGGAAAGUCCAUGCGGAUGUCACCUAAAAUGUGACAUCUCCUCCAAGAGUUUUCAGCUGAGCUGGGCAAGCAAGAAAGACUGCCCAGAAUGACACUGUGUUGGAAAGACAGUCUGACAGGGCCAGGAGCAGGGUGGGCAGCAGAGGGGCCUCCCACGAUGGGUCCCUAGAAAGGGAAGAUUUAUGGUGUGGGACUGACUGGGAAGGGAGGAUCUAGAGAGGACUGUCACAGGUCAGGAGUAAAGAAAAUGCUGAACAGGAACCACGAGCAAGGCCGGAGGAAGAGGCCAGUUUGCACCACGGAUAGGCAUGAAAAGGCCCGCCUCCUCUCUGCCGGUGCCCACCUGGGCCUCUCUUGUUCAUCACUUGCCAUCAGUGGAGGGUCAACUCUGAGCCAGCCCCAUCCCAGGUGCUUUGCUGACAUCAUGUUCAAUUCCAAAGACAGCUCUGCAGACAGGACUUUUUCCCCACCUUGCAGAUAAGGAGAGUUUGGAUGGCUUGCCUGAGGUCAUACAAUUGGGAAGCGUUGAGCUGGGAUUCAGGAAGAGGUAUGUCUGUCACUAAAGCCCAGGCCUCCCAGGGGACUCUUUGGAAUGGAGCUGGCCUUGUACAGUGGAGACAGUGACCAGCUAACGGCCUUCCCAAGGACAAUAUAAGCUCUCUAGAGAUGGUUCCCUUCAGGCUGAGCAGCUGUAAGAAAACCCAAAGAAGCAUCAACCGGGGGAUGCCACCUCUACUCAGCAAGUGUCGCCCACGUGGCAAUGGGAGCCAGUUCCUUCUCUGGACUCCCCAUGUCCUUGUCUCUCUGGCUCUGAUUCUGGGCUCUUUUGCCCAUGUUCAAGGGACCAGAUGUGAUGCAUGGAAUGGAACCAUAAUACAUGCCUGGCCUUCAUAGUCAGCAGGGAGCCAUUUCACUCACCUACCCCGCGGCCUCUGAGCUAACAGCGGGGCUGUGAUCCUGAGGAUAAGAACGUGGGUCCCUGGGGCACACCAACUCAGGUUCAAGUCUCUUCCACUUCUUCCUUGCUGUGCAGCCGUGGGAGAAUCGCUUCACGUCCCUAAGCCUUGUUCUCCUUACCUGAGGAAUGAGGAUCACACCUGCUACACAGAAUCUUCAUGAGGGUCUAUGGCAGCCAUGCAUCUAUACAUAUGCAUGAUUACAUUAUGUUUAUUUACAUAAAAUCUAUUUACAUAGGUCUCAUAGUAGCC